GUAUAGCUCAAUGGUAGAGCGUCCGGCUGUUAACCGGAGGGUUGCCGGUUCAAGUCCGGCUAUG
rnacentral:tRNA from 1 species